rnacentral:rRNA from 1 species
CCAAAGGUUUUUUCUAACUAUGUCUAUGAAUUGAUGUAUGAAAAAAAAGUUAUUUGUUAACUUGAAGGCUUCUGUAAAAAGAGUCUUUAAAAACAACUCUUGGCAAUGGAUCUCUUGGUUCUCGCAUCGAUGAAGAGCGUAGCAAAGUGCGAUAAUUAUUGCGACUUGCAUUCAUAGUGAAUCAUCGAGUUCUUGAACGCAUCUUGCGCCUAGUAGUCAAUCUACUAGGCACAGUUGUUUCAGUAUCUGCAUCCACCAAUCAACUUAACCUUUUGUGUUGAGUUGGAACUGGGCUUCUAGUUGAUGGCAUUUAGUUGCUGUCAUGGCCUUAAAUCAAUGUCCUAGGUGUUAGAACAUCUAACACCGGAUGGAAACUUUAGAGCGCUUUAAGAGCAGCUUGGUUAGUGAGUUCAAUAAUUCCAAGCAUUAAGUCUUUUAAUGAACUAGCUUUUCUAUCUAUGGGACACUACUUGGAGAAAUCCAAGUAACC